AUUCUCUUCUUCUUGCCUGAUCAAACCUGCCCUGGUACUAACUGCACACAGCUGGAGGUCUACUGAGUACUUUGUGCAAGAUACUGUGCUGGAAAUGCUCUCUCUUGAUUAGCACGGUGGCUCCACAGGUGAAUAUGUUUUUAGCACUCUUUAUACAUAUAGAUAUUUCAAUUUGCAAAAAAUCUUAAUAUUUUAUAAAAGGAUAUUUCUGGCAUCAGAGAAUUAAUCUACCCAUUUGGACCUUAUUUUCCUGAACUCUUUGCUGCUCUCCUUUUUUGAAAUAUUCUCCACUACCUUUAAGUGAAUCUUUUUUUUUUUUUUUUUUUUUUUGGUACCAGGGAUUGAACCCAGGGGUGUUUUACCACUGAACUACAUCCCCAGUUCAUUUUAUUUUUUUAAUUUUGAAACAGGGGUCUAGCCAAGUUACUUAUUAAAUUGCUGAAACUGGCCUUCAACCUGCUAUCCGUCUGCCUCAGCCUCCAGAAUUACUGCAAUUACAAGCAUGUGCCACUUUACCUGGCUUCUCCACCAUAUUUAAAGGCAUGACCCUGGUUCUCCUCUUGCUUCUCCCGGUGACCUCCUCUGUCUCUCCCUCGUUUCCCUAAUCGCCAAUAUCCUCAAAGUUACCUGUUCCUCAAGACUCUCAUCACUCUCCUCCUUUUCUGCAUGUUCUAUCAAGCAACUGUAUCUACACCUACAUUUUUCCAUAUAUUUUUCACUGCAGAUGACUCUAGGAUGGAGUUUCAAAUGACUGAUGUUUGUUUUGCUCAGAUGCCUACCUAGAGAUUCAAUCUCAAAAUGUCUUAAAAUAAACCUGUUGCCGUUGCUAAGUAACCUUUCUGGUGAUUUUUCUGUUUCCCAAAAAUGGCAUUAUUUUAUAAAAAUUUAAUCCUGAAAACAUUGAAGUAGCCUGUACAUCUUUUUUAUCUACACUUCUUGCUAAUCCUUUGACCUUUUUUUAAACAAUUAACUUAAUGUUCUAUCUCUUACCUCCAAUCUGUGCUUUUCCCCCCAUUUUCCCCUAUUACCCAUUAGCCAGGUCUUCAUUCUCUUACACUGACCAAUUAAAAUUCCCCAAGGAAGCUCACUUAAAUCCACUUCUAUACUGCUACUAAAAAAUUCUUCCUAAGCCUGGGUUUCUCUUCUACUCAAAAAUCCUUCAGUACUUCUCACUUACAUAAAGAAAUAAAGCUAACUGACAACACAGCAGCAUUCAAGGCACUUGAAUGCACUAAAUCCAAUCUACCUCUCCAAGUUUCCAUAAUAUCAUUCUCUUUCCAGUAAGCCGAGACCAAUCAAACUCACCCACUUGCUGUUUCCUAAAACUUUUCUGUUUUCCUCCCCCACUUCUGCUUACACUGCUCACCUGGAUUAGCUACUCCAAUCAAAACCCUACCCACCCCCAAGGUCCAAUCAAAUUCAAGUCAGAGUAGCCAGAAUGAGGGAAAAGGACUUUUGCAAGAGAUUGGGUAACUCUACAUGUACUUUGCAUACCCUAAAAUACUUAGUGGGGUGAGUCAAGAGAACUAGGUUUGCAAUCAGUAUUUGGGGAAAUGCCAUUUAAAUGUAGAUAUACCUCCUUUUACAUCUCCAGCUGAGUGUUAACAUUUCUUUUUUAGAAUUUUUUACCUGUUAAAAUUAUGUUUAAUUCAUGAAUACAUUUUCAUCAUAAAGAAGAAAUCAAAUAUUUUAUGAAAAGCUAAAGAACUUGAGCAUCUCCAGUUCAAUUCUCUGUGGAGAGAAUCAUUUUCAGCUAUGUCAUGUACAUCUUUCCAUACCUUUCUCUGAGCAUUUGAGCUCCUAUAUAAAUAAGUAGUUGCAUGCACAAAUUAUGAAUUAGCAUGUACCUUGUGAGAAGAACACUGAAUUCCAAAUUUAAAGCCAAUUUACAUAUGGAUACAAAAUAUUUAUAAUCACCAUCAUUCUUUUAAAACAUUUUAAUUAUGUAGAUUCUUCUUAAAAAUAUGAAACUAAAGAGCACUUAUUCUGCCACAUAAUUUUGUGUUUCAGGCAAGUUGUUUAAUUCUUAAACCAGGAGGCACCUGCUGUUAUCAUCUUUAUAGAAGUAAGGUGUGUAUCUAGGGUCAUACUCCCAGUUAAUGAGCGGAAGAUCUGGGAUUCUUAUCUAGGAAGGCUGGCUCCAAAGCUUAUAAUCUUAAAUGUGUGGCUCUGCUGUCCAUUAUCCUAUCCACUCAGACAGGCUACUUACCUGUGACUAUUUCUGUGGCUUCUGCCCAAAUCUUCAUGGCCUCUCUGCCAUGGUGGGGUAGUCGCUCCAUCCCUGGACUCUGAUCUUCCUCACUGCUUAGGCACUUCUGAUGAUGGGAGGUGGUGCUUAUCUGAGUCCUCAGCUGAACUAAAUUGAGAGGGAGAAGAGCCUGAAUUGAGACAAGUAUUUGUUGAUAGCCAUCCUUCCCAAUAAGUGUAAGCUCUCUGAGAGCUAGGACCAUGCAUCUUUUGUCCAUCACAUCUCCCAGACCUAGCACUUGGUAAGCAGGCAACAGGUUCACGUGGAAAUGAAUUGCCACAGGUGACAACUGAGUUUUUGAGUUAGACUUUUCCCCAUCCAUCCCAACAAUUAAGGGGUAUUUGUGGAAGUCACAGAGGGAAGGAAGGACUGCAGAGAAAAAGCUAAACUGACUUUUUUUUCUCUUUUUCUUCCUCCUCCUCUCCUUUUCCUCCCCCUCCUCCACUUCCUCCUCCUUUUUUUUUUUUUUUGGCAGUACUGGAGAUUGAACCUAGCGGUACUCUAAUGCUAAGCUAAAUGCCCAGCCCUUUUAAAUUUUCAAGACAGGGUCUCACUAAGUUGCACAGGCUGGCUUUGAACUUGUGUUACAUCCUCCUACCUCAGUCUCCCUGCUAGGAUUACAAGCAUAUAUUACCAGAACUAGCUUCUCUGUGAAUAGUUUCAUUAAGACUAUCACCACACUAACUGAGAUUGUUGGUGAUGUUUUUGGUACCUUCAUGACAGGCUGAGCAACUUGAGAACAACAGUCAUCUGCUUCCUUAAAUUUCUGUCGCCCAGAUUGACCAAGGAUUUCUAGGCAGUAGGCAGGCUCAUUGAAUGGGUCAAUAAAUGACUCCUGUUGAUAAAGUUACUGAAAAGCUGAUGAGUCAGGAAAAGGGGAAGAUAUUAAUGACUGAUCAUCCAAGGAGCUAGUAAACAACUGGUUUCAAGGUUGAUUGACCAAAUCUUCCUGUCACCCAGGCCUUGAUAUUGUCAAACAUUGCUUGUAUCAAAUGUCUAGAGUCUAUAUCCCUAGUGAGAGAAGAUGUCCUCACAGUUUCUCAAUAAGUAAUAAUAUAAGCUGGUUAACUACAAAAGUUAUCCUUACUGUCCAGAAGCAAUUUUGAGUAAUUAUAUUAAAACAUUAUUUUACUGAUUAUCUAACACCUUUUCAAAGAGGAGAUGGAAACUUAUUCCACCUUUAACACACAUUUUAAAUACUAAUUUUCAUCAAUUUUAAUUUUAUCAUAUGCCGUAAUGUAGAGUCAGGACCUAAAUGUUAAACACCCAAGGCCACCAUUUGCUAUUUUAAGAAGUAAAUUUAAGUUACUUCCAAACUUGUUCUUCCUCUUUGUUUUCUAUCUAUCUACAUUGGCUAAAUAACUCAAGCCAAAACAUGAUUUCUUUCUUUUUUUUUUUUAAGAGAGAGAGAAAGAGAGAGGAGAGAAUUUCAAUAUUUAUUUUUCAGUUUUUGGCAGACACAACAUCUUGGUUUGUAUGUGGUGCUGAGGAUCAAACCUGGGCCACACGCAUGCCAGGCGAGCGCGCUACUGCUUGAGCCACAUCCCCAGCCCCCAAAACAUGAUUUCUUGACUUGUCCCUUGUCCCCUACAUAUACAGUUGUCCCUCUGUAUUCAUUAGACAGUUGAUUAUAAGACCUCCCUCUGAUAAUAAGAUUCUGAUAUGCCUAAGUCCUAUAUACAAAAUAGUGUAGCAUUUGCAUAUAACCUGUGCACAUCCUCCACGUACUUUAAAUCAUUUCUAAAUUACUGAUAAUACCUAAUUCAAUGUGGGUGCUAUGAAAAGUGGUUGUACUGUAUUGCUUAGGCAACAAUGCAAAAGGAAAAUGUCAGUAUAUGUUCUGUACAGUUGCAAUUUUUUUUUCCAAACAUUUUUGAUCUGCCAUUGGUUGAAUCCUCAGAUGCAGAAUAGGCAGGUGAGAAUUCCUGGUGGUUCUAGUUUCUUAUGAUCCUUGGCAUCUGUUCAUCUCCUGUAUCCUCAUGUGACCCCCUUAUUUCAAGCAGGAUUUUACUGUCUUUUUUCAGUAAAUUCCUGCUUCAUCACCCAGCCCCCAGCAAUGUCACCAGAAUGGUCUCUUAAAAACACAAAUCUCAGGGGCCAUGGUGCACGCCUAUAAUCCCAGCUAUGUGAGAGACUGAGGCAGGAGGAUGUUCAAGUUCAAGGUCAGCCUGGGAUUCAGUAAGACCUGCCUCAAAAUAAAAUAAAAAGGUCUGGGGAUGUAGCUCAGUGGUACAGCACCCCUAGUUUCAAUCUCUAGUACUACACACACACACACACACACACACACACACAGCCAUAGAUCUUAUGAUAUGUCUUAACCGUUACCGGAGCUCCUGUAACUUGGAAUGCCUUCGGAUUCGUUUCUCCCAUCCUCUCUGUCAGGCAGGCUCUCCUGCAUUAACCCUGAUUGACUUAACAUUUCUCCUGUUUUGUCUAGGACAAUUCCAUUCUAACUUGUUAGCUCAGCAUGUUUAUUGACAGCAACCCUUUGGUCAUUCUCAAAAAUUCCCAGUGUGUUAGUUGCUACGACUGCCAUAACAAAAUGCCACAGAGUAUGUGGUUUAAACAACAGAACACUAUUUUCUCAUAGCUCAGGAGCUGUAAGUUCAAGGAAAAGAUGGACAAAUUUAUUUUCUUUUGAGGCCUCUCUCCCUGGGUUACAGAUGGCCUGGCCAUCUUCUUGCUACAUCCUCACAUUGCCUCUCAUGUUCCUUCCUCUUAUGGAGAAACCAGUAAUAAUGGAUGAGGGUCCUAACCUAAUGGUCUAAUUUUAAUGUAAUUACCUCUUUUUUUUUUUUAAAGAGAGGGAGAGAGAGAGAGAGUUUUUUUUUAAUAUUUAUUUUUCAGUUCUCGGUGGACACAACAUCUUUGUUUGUAUGUGGUGCUGAGGAUCGAACCCGGGCAGCGCGCAUGCCAGGCGAGCACGCUACCGCUUGAGCCACAUCCCCAGCCCUGUAAUUACCUCUUUACAGGCACAGGCAGUUUUUCCUCAGUAUCCACUGCAGAACUAGUUGUGGGAUCUCCAACUGAUACUAAAUCCUAGGAUGCCCAAGUCCUAUAUGUGAAAUGAUAUAGUAUUUGCAUAUAACCUACACAUACCCUUCUGCAAUAAUUUAAAUCAUCUGUAGAUGACUUAUGAUACCUAACACAAUGUGAAUGUUAUGUGAAUAGUCAUUAUAUUGUGAAGGAAAUAAUGAUAAGAAAAAUGCCUGCAUAUGUUCAGUAUCAGUACAAUUUUCUUUUUGAAUAUUUUUGAUCCCUGGUUGGUUGUAUCCAUAGAUAUGGAACCCACAGAUAUUGAGGGAUGGCCAUAUAUUAAUGUAUAAUAAUUCAUUAAAUCUAAACUAUUGCUUACAAGAUUCACACAACAUCAAAACAUUACUGGGGCAAAAUCUUGCUCACAGAAGUAAGGAUAAUUGCCUUAUUCUUCAAACACUGUGAUUUUUAUCAAUGAUAUGAUUAGGUGCUUUUAAAAAGGUUACAAUUGGGGAGAAAAACAAACACUAGGCUUAACUAUUUAAAACAACUAUGUAACCCUACAUUUUAUGUGAUUUAAUCAAUCAGUUUAUUUAAUCAAAUAACUGUAAAUUAUUAUUAUUUUUUGCUUUGAAUUAGAUCUUCAUUUUUUCUUCCUGAAAGAAGAGAAUAUGGAAUUGUUACACUCAACAGACUGCAACAAAAAGCUGAUCCAUCUCUCUUAUCCCUCGUGGAAGGGAAAAGAGAAAACUGAAACUGGUUAUUACACAAAAUCAAGUUCACUAUUGUAAAAUAAAGAGUGUUUUCUAUCAUCUUGCUCUCUUUCCUUCAAAAGUAAUAAAUAUUAUUUUCCUUUUAUGCAACUAUAUCACUGUUAUGCCACUCUUGCCUUUAUCUUUAUACAACAAUAGAAUGCUACAUUUCAUUGUAUUUAGUGUUUCAAAUUACUUUU
rnacentral:lncRNA from 1 species